rnacentral:rRNA from 1 species
CCUACGGGAGGCAGCAGUAAGGAAUAUUGCGCAAUGGGCGAAAGCCUGACGCAGCGACGCCGCGUGGGGGAUGAAGGUCUUCGGAUUGUAAACCCCUUUCGGGAGGGAAGAUGGAAUGGGGUAACCCAUUCGGACGGUACCUCCAGAAGCAGCCACGGCUAACUUCGUGCCAGCAGCCGCGGUAAU